rnacentral:lncRNA from 1 species
UUUUUUCAGGGUUUUUCGAUGUUUUGGUUUUUCUCCGGUCUUUCUUAGAUUUUCGAUAAAAAAAUCGAAAAAAAAUUACGCAAAAAAACGCAUUUUCUUUUCUUUUCUUUUGCGAAAGUCACGGUUUUUUUCCGCGAGAGGCAUGGUUGUGCUUUAGCGAGAGUCACGACUGUGCCUUUCGAAAACAAAACAAAAAAUGUGUUUUCUGUUUUUUUUUCUUUCGCGAGUCAUAAUUUUGCUUCCGCGAGAGGCACGGUUGUGCUUUCGCGAGAGUCACGACCGUGCCUCUGGGAAAGGGAAAAACAAGACGCGUUUUCUAUUUAUUUUUGUUUCGCGAGUCGCGGUUUUGCUUCCGCGGGAGACACGGUUGUGCUUCCGCGAGAGUCACGGCCGUGGCUCUCAGAAAGGGAAAAUAAUACGCAUUUUUUGUUUUUUUUGCGAGAAUCACGGUUUUGCUUUUGCGAGAGGCACGGUUGUGCUUUCGCGAGAGUCACGGACGUGUCUCUCGAAAACGGGAAAAAAACGUUUUUCUGUUUCUUUCCUUCUAUGAGAGUCACGGUUUUGCUUCCACGAGAGGCACGGGUGUGAUUUCGCGAGAGGCACGGGCGUGCCUCUUUCGGAAAGUGAAAAAACCCGUACUCCCAAUUCGGUUUUUUUCGUCUAUUUUUUUUGAAAAAAAGUUCAUCAAAACCUAUCAACAUACGAUCUAAUUUUGAAGAUCUCGACGCGAGUAAUCCAAUGGCAAAAACGGUUCGAGAUUUGGAUGCACGAUUUAAAAGAUAAAACAUUUUGAAUAAACAGAUCUAUGAAAAAAGGAAAACUCCCAGAUUACAACAAGUGGUGGGUUGUAUGUGCUCUACUUGUCGCGACCUAGAAAAAUAAAGUAUUCUUUGCAACGAAUACUCUUAAUUAGUGAUUUCGAUGAUAUGUGUUACUUUUUUUUUUGAAGAACAUGCUUUACUUUAUUGCUCAAUAGAACGAAUUACAGGAAUAAUAGCAGUAUCAUGAGGGUGUAACAGCCAUACAUGGCGACCCUCCCCUAAAUGUAAAGCAUGUCGAGCUAAGCCAUGAGCCUCCUUAUUGGAGAGACGUCUCUCAUGGACGAAAGAACAAGACUGAAACUCCCUACUCGAGUCGAUGAUCUCUUGCACAAUUGGAGUGAUUGUACCCAUAGUGCCAGUAUGUAUGUCCUUGACCACGGCAAGGCAAUCAGAAGCUACCUUCAAAUGAGUAAGUGCAAGGUCCCUGGCUAAUGCAAUAGCCUCGCGGCAUGCCAAAGCUUCCAGAAUAUGUGGAUCGGUCAUGCCAUGGAAUACCACCGAUGCUGACCCAGCAAAAGUUCCUGAUUGAUCCCGGCAAACCGCACUUAUGGCCCCGACAGGAGGUUGUUUACAUAUAGCAGCGUCGACAUUAACCUUGUGAUGACCCGCCGGUGGUGGAAUCCACACAGGCGUCCGCUCUGGGGCUGUUCUCGGCUUCGUUAUUUCAUGUGACAUAGAAACAAUACUCAAAUCUGCCAGAAAGCGUUUGAUAAAUGAGUGAGUCCCCAUGGGGCUCUGGUGCUCCCCUUCGUGGAUCAGCUUACGCCGUGCACCCCAUAUAGCCCAUAGUGUCACAGCUAGCUUCGUGAACUCGGAAUGCGGCAUCGAUUCUUGCAUACUGAAAAUCCAAGCCUUUGCAUUCGGUUCUGCUGUUGCGAUGAUAUGCUCAACCAACUCCGGGUCAUCUAGCGCCCACACGCACCGCGCCAUUGUGCACGUUAUGAGUGAGUGCAUCCAUGAGUCCUCCUCUCCACAGAUGGCACACCGCGACGAUGUAGACAUAUUACGAUGACGGAGUACAUCCGCCGUGGGUAUAGAGCAUUGUGCAAGUCUCCACAGGAAUACCUUCAGUUUUGACGGCACCGCAACCUUCCAGAUAUUGGACCAGCUGGCUUCCUCUCUCUGCCUGUCAGCCGGGCCGGAUCGUCCUUCAAGCCAAGCCUCCCGCCUGAGCUUCGUAUUGAUUAGCAUCCGAUAUGCCGAGCGGACGGAGAAGGCACCCUUAUGUUCAUGAGCCCAAGCCCAAGAAUCUCUGCAGUGUCUUGUGGCUAGCGGAAUAUUGAGGAUCACCUCCGCAUCAAUUGGAAGGAACGUUGCACGAACUACUUCCUGCUUCCACCUGGCAUUUGCGCUGGCAAUGAGUUCAGACACGAACUGCGGCCGAUGUUGGCUCAAGCAUACUAUAGGUCUGAGUGACGCCUCUUUGUGUAUCCAGUUAUGCUGCCAUAUCAAUGUAUCCCGACCAUCACCUAUGCGUUUGAUGAGACCCUGCGAUAGGAUCUCCUUGCCCUCCACGAUCGCUCGCCAAAUUUGUGAUGGUUGGUUACCUAGGGAUGCGUCAAGAAAGUCUGUCGUUGGAAAGUAGCGUGCUUUCAGAAUUUUUGCACUUAGGGAUUCAGGUGUUUGUAGGAUUCUCCACGCUUGUCUUGCCAGCAGAGCGAGGUUAAACAGCUCGAUGUCUCGAAAACCCAAUCCACCUUCAUAUUUCGGCCUUGUCAUCUUCUCCCAGGAGACCCAAUUUGUCUUCCUUUCGCCCCGUUUACUCCCCCACCAGAACUUUCGUAUGAUGGAGUUGAUAUGAAGACAGAGGCCCCGAAGCAGCUUAAAACAAGCCAUAGAGUAUACCGGGAUAGAUUGAGCGACAGACUUUAUAAGUACUUCUUUUCCUCCGGAUGACAACACCUUUUCCAUCCAUCCCUUUACUUUGUUCCAGACUCUAUCCUUCAAAUAUUUGAAAGCCCCGUUUUUGCUGCUCCCUACAUCCGUAGGCAUGCCCAAGUACUUCUCUGGUAGACUCUCAUUAUGAACAUGCAGGGUAGUUUUCAUGCUCUCUUUAACACCCUGCGAGCAGCCUUUGCUAAAAAACACUAAAGAUUUGUCCAAGUUUAUUUUCUGUCCAGAAGCAUUACAGUAUGAUUCCAACAAAGAGGAUACUUGAAUAGCUCCCUCAACACUAGCCUUGACGAACAGCAGGCUGUCAUCUGCGAAAAGAAGGUGGCUUACCGGCGGAGCCAUAUCUGCCACUCUGAUCCCAUGCACUGGAGAUGACUCUGUCUGGUUUUUUAAAAGGCUCGAAAGGCCCUUUGCUGCCAACAAGAAUAGGUAAGGUGAUAUUGGAUCCCCCUGUCAAAGUCCUCGUGAAGGUGUAAAUUUCUCCAGUCUUUUUCCAUUGAACAUAACCGAGAAUUUGACUGAACAUACCAUCCUCAUAACUGAGUUGACCCAAGCCGGUGCAAAACCCAGUUUGGACAUGAUAGCACGGAGGUAGUCCCACUCCAAACGGUCGUAGGCCUUCAUCAUGUCAAGUUUAAGGGCACAAAACCCAUUCCUCUUAGAUCUAUUCCUCUUCAUAAAAUUUAAACACUCAUACGCGGAGAUGAUAUUAUCCGUGAUAAGCCUUCCCGCCACAAAGGCCGAUUGCUCCUCCGAUAUGAUCAUAGGAAGGAUGGUCUUGAGCCUGUUUGCCAUAACCUUCGAUGCAAUCUUAUAGAGUACAUUGCAUAGACUUAUAGGGCGAAACUGUGACAGAAGUGUGGGAUUUGUUACCUUGGGGAUGAGGACGAGGAUAGUAUCAUUCAGCUCCUCCACAUCUUCCUCACCCCUCAGGAUUUUCAAGAUGAUAGUAGCCACUUCAUCCCCGCAGAGCUCCCAAUUUUUCUGAAAAAAAUGCGCAGGGAACCCAUCAGAUCCUGGAGCUUUAGUAGGGGCCAUCUGAAACAGCGCCGUUUUAAUUUCCUCUCUGCUGUACUCGCUCAUCAGCCGCUGGUUCAUCUCGUUUGUGACUUUGCGAGGAACCACGUCAAUUACUUCAUGCAUAUUCAUUGUCCCCUCUGAUGUGAACAGAUUUUUGUAGAAGGCCGUGACCAUGCACUCCAUCUCUGUUGCAUCUUCUGCUGUAGUUCCAUCAUGUCUCAGCAGACAUUUUAUCUUGUUAUUAAGGCGCCGCCUGCUGGCCCGUAGGUGAAAGAACUUGGUGUUCUUAUCACUCACCGCCAGCCAUGUUAUUCGUGAUCGCUGACGCCACAUUACCUCCUCUCUGUGAUAGAGCUCGAUCAGGCGAUCUUUUACUUUCUCUUCCUGACGAGUAGGUGCCGUCCUCGACGGGUCAGCACGCAUGCUCUCUAGCUGAAGCUUUAGAGAUCGAAUCUCCUCCUUCACACUGCCAAACGCUAGUUCGGUCCAAGUGUUUCAGAUUUGUUGAGAGCGUUUUAAUUUUUGCACAUAGUUCCGCAACCGUGGUUGCUCCUGGGCCUUGCCAGUGUUGUUCAAUUGUCGCCUGGAAACCCUCGUGAGAUUCCCACAUCAUCUCAUAUCUGAAGGGUCUAGCUUGCCGUGGCUGAUCAUCUACGGGUGAUAGUUGUAGCAAUAUCGGUAUGUGGUCCGAUGUGGUGGCAGAUUUGUGAGAUAAAACUGCUCCUGGAUACAUGCUGGACCACGAUGGGGUGGCAAGUGCCCUAUCAAGACGCACUCGCGUGUAUGUUCCUCCGGCUACUCUCUUUUCAAACGUCCAGUUGUUUCCCGACAAGCCUAGAUCAAUAAGGCCACAUGUGUCGACAGCAUCCCUAAAACCAUUCACCUGUGUCAUGCACCGGUGACCAAUCCCGUCAUGUUCAUUCAGACUCAGUACUUCAUUGAAAUCACCGAAACACACCCAUGGCAGACCGUCAUCCUCAGCGAGAGAUCUCAACACGUCCCAAGUCUUGCCUCUAUCACUGACUUGUGCUUCACCGUACAUCACUGUGAGCCGCCAUGGAGAAGCACCAGGCAAAGUAACAUGAGCAUCUAUGUGAUAAGCAGAGUAACCAAAAUUUUCAAUCUUUAUUUCAUUAUUCCAAAAAAUACCGAGACCACCACUCCUACCAGAGCUACUAACAGCAAAUGAAUUAUCAUAACCUAGGGUGCUUGCUAAGUUUUCCACUCUAUCUCUCGGGAGUUGAGUUUCAACAAUACAAAGCACCAACGGGGCAAACUGCCUCGCGAAAUCGCGAAGCUCUCGAACUGUCGCGGGUUUGCCCGCCCCGCGACAGUUCCGGCAUGAGAGACUCAUUGGACCCGCGGCGCUCCUCAGAGGAGCCCGCCACGCUGUCCAUAUUGCUUUUGUUUGGGGAACUACCUUGCUUUUGCUUCUUUCUAUCCCUUGGGGUAACAUAAGGUGGUGGAGGAGGAGGGACAACACUGGCCCCUUGCACAGAUGCAUCAAGCGAGCCACCUCUGAUGCUCUCAUCAGCCUGCUUAUCCAUGUUCAACUUGCGACUAACCGUGGUCUGUGGCCGGACGGUCCCAACAUCAACGCCCUUGUCCUUGAGAGGGCUCUCAGCCGUAUCUUUGAGAUCAUCAUCACCAUCUUUGUCAAUUUCCUCACCUAGACCGGCGUCCUCAGAUGAUCGUUUCUUGGCUCCAUUGUUUCUUCCGCGGCCGCCACCACGGGCUCGUCCACGUCCUCGUGUGGAAUUCCCCCUGUUCCAGCUCGGGUCACGGUUCUGGUUAUCCGGCAUGGCUCUCCUGGUUGCUUUCAUCCACUCCUCGUAUUCAACCUCCUCGGGGCUGUGAACCCCAUCGCCGCACUCUUCCAUGGAAUGGCCUAGGACGCCACAGACUUCACAGAAGAAGCCUAUCUUCUCAUAUCUUACUGGCAAGAGAAUUCGCCCUUCCCCUUUGAUGUUCAAUGGGGCAAACCGCACCAAAGGAUCAGCUAGUUUAAUCUUCGCCCGGACCCUAACAUAGUUGCCUUCAAAGACUCGGUUAGGGUUCAUCUCCACGCUCUUCACCUGACCUAUGCGACGAGCUAGUUGGUCUACAAUUAUCUCCUUCCUGUAGAGCUCCGGGGUAUCAUGAAUCUGCGCCCACACAUGGACUCGGUCGAGCUGAACUAGAUCUGGUUUACCUUUGCCAUCAUACUCCUCAAUUGCCACCAUAAGUCCCCUAUAGAUCCAAGGGCCCUGGUGCAUAACUCUGUUCCAAUCACCUAAGCAGAAAAGUUGGACGACGAACAGAUUGUUAUCUGCUUCGCGGAUAUCUGGCUCGUGGGCAAGUCUCCAUGCGAAAAUCAUUGUGUUCUUGAAGGACUCGGCACUGAAGUACUUCGUCGUGUUCACCCGUGCUACCGCUAGCCACCGGGACUCCUUGGACAGUUCUGCAAUUUCCUCAUCGCCAACUAUCACGUCAUCCAGCUCCGUCUCCUUCAGCUUCAUGUUCCUCAUCGCCGCUUCCAGGUCGAUCGGAGUCUUCCCCUUCCUUCUACCUGAACUAGUACUCCCCCCUCCAUUGGAAGAAGUCGCUCCUGCCAUGGCUGCAGUUAACCCUAGAUCGCCGCACCGCACCGAGGCCGGGUGGAAGGACAAAGCCGACCCCUUGAUCAGCCCGAGCGCAGGCGUGGGAUGGUUGGGAUGCGCAGGCAGGUUAUCCGGAUCCUCGACGGCGACGAACCGCGCCGGAGUAGGAAAACCCUAGUCGCCGGGGCGGCUAGGGUAGGUUUUUUGGAUAGCUCUCCAUGAUAUGUGUUACUUCAAGCGAUAACCUGCGCCCGCAUCGCACGUGGAAAACGAACGCAAGACUCUACAUGGGCCAAUGGGCCAGUGGUGAAUAGCGCACGGGUCUGUUCGUAAUGUUUCCAGAUAGAGUUUUUCAUUGGGUUUCCGUUUACAAACCGGAUCUUUUAGGUAAUUUAAAAUUCAACAAAAAAUAAAUAUACGGAAAACAUUCUUUAAAACAAUGUUCAAAAAGUUCAUAAAAUACAAAAACUCUUCCUGCAUUUAAAAAAUGUUCACAAAAUUUAAAACAAUCAUGAAUUAAAAACAAUUCAUGAAACUAAAAAAUAUUCAUGAAUUCUCAAAAAUGUGUAUGAGUUCAAAAAAAUCCAAAAAGUUGCAAAAAAAUCAUAAAUUAGAAAAGACACGUGUUUGAAAUAUGUUCGUGAAUUCAAAAACAAUCACGAGUUGGAACUCAAAAAAUAUUCAUGAAACAUGAAUUCAACAAAUAUCCAUGAUUCAUAAAUUCAAAAAAUAUUCAUGGAUUUUAAAAAAAUGUUCUUCAAUUCAUGAUAAAUUUCUCUACAAGUGCAUAAAUGUUUGUAGAUUAGAAAAAUGUUCAUGAAUUAAAUAAAAUUUAGUAGUUUAAAAUUGCCCAUGAAUAUGAAAAAUGUUCUUGAAUUAUAAAAUAUUCAAUCGAAACACAAAAGUUUAAAAAUUAUGAAUUAACAGAAGAAAAUGAUGUAUGAAAAAACUGAUCAAUAAACCAAAAAAUCUGGUUGUGAUAAUAAGAAAAAGAAUGUCUUGGAAGAUUCUCAAAACCACCAGCCUACCCAAAACCUGAUUGGAUGCUCACAAGAACCUUUUGAAAAACGCUCGCUCAGGGCACAUCCUCUUCAUUAGUGCGCCAACUCGCUCAGCGAUCACUGUUAGCGAGCUACAAAAUGCUGCUCGCUAUAAGCAAUAUAUGGCACUCGUAAUUUUAUAAAUUGUCACAUCAAAAAUUUAUACAAUUUCGUAAUGUCCAUCUGCCAGAUAAAACAUGUUUCAAAUGGAAAUUUUUUGUUUUUUUGGUGUAUAAGACAUGACAAUUUUUGAAAUUGUUUUGUAAGAGUCACGUGGCAAAUUAUAGAUGUUGUCAAGUUUAAAUCAACUAAAACAAUUAUUUUUCAUGUUUUUGUCUCAUUGCACAUGGCAAUUCUAUUUGUGACAUUUCUGGAUUGAAACUUGUCUCAUGGCAAUUCUAGAUGUGACAAUUCACAUGGCAAAUUCAUAAUUUACACUAUAGUAAUUUUAUUAGUUAAACAUAAUGGCAUUUUUAUUAAUUAAACCAUGGCGAAUUUAAUGACCAGAUCAUGCUAGUUUUAUUGUAGGUAGCAUGGGAAUUUUAUUGCUUACACCAUGGCUUUAUUAUUUAGACCACAAUGGUUUCAUUGUAGGUAGCAUGGACUUUCAUUAUUAACAUCAUGGCAUUUUAUUAAUUAUACCAUGGUAGCUUUAUUUUUGUCAUGGCAACUUGUUUGAAUAAUAGUCAUCGUACAAAACGGAAUUUAAAACCUAGUUUUGGCAUAGAAAUAAAUAUCUACUGACUUCAAUUUCAUAAGGUUUUGGAGAAAACUUUUUCCUUCUUAAUUUUCCAUGUGAACACUUCACAUUUUCCCAAAAAUUUCAUGACUUGCAUAACAUUUUUCUCUUAAAGUUGCCAUUUGAGGUAGCACCCAAGUAAAAUGGGCACUUUUCAAAAGCACGAGGGGUGUGGGAAGGAUUUUCAUGAUAACCAUAGCUAAUAGAAAAUUAAUUGCCACAAAAACUAAUAAUAUACACUACAUUUGCCAUGGUGGUAUUUACUAUUCAUGGCAUGCCAAUUUUAUUAGAUAUAGCAUGUCAACUUUUGGCAUGUCAAAACAACUUGCAACUUUUACCAUGGCAAAAAUCUUAAAACCUUUCCCAUGAUUUUAUCAGUUUUUACAUUUUUUGCCAUGGCAAUUGUCACCAACCCAUUUAUCAAUUUUGCCAUGUUUUUUUUGGAAUUUAAGUUGCUAUGAUUUUAUCUUUUUGAGUACUUUUUAACCAAGAUAUUUUUUACAUGGCAACAUUAUCAUCAUACUUAAUUGUCAUUUUACAUCCAGACAGUUUCCAUCAUGUAGUAUAAGUUUUGUCAUUCUAUUUUUUUUGUUUCAAUAGUUUUUUGUUUCAGUUGGCAUUUUUUCUUCGCCCCCUACAAAAUGUAUGCAUUCUUUUCAUGGCAAUUAUACUAUUUACAUCAUGGUAGUUUCAUUAUCCAUAGCUUGGCAAUUUUUUUGGCAUGUCAUCUAUUUUUUUCUCAUCAUGACGAAUCUAGUAGUUUUUACAUGGAAUUUUUUAUAUAAUCAGCAUGGCAAAAUAUUGCAUUACAUCAUGGUAAAUCUACCAUUUCUUUUUUUGUUGAUUGUUUUUGAAAUAGCUAACCACUCAUUUCAAGUGGUAGUAAAUCUAUCAGUCUUAAUAUGGCUUUUCUCAGUGCUGGCAAUUUUUGUGUUUCUCACUUAAUUUAAGUUUUGUUUAUCAAGGAACAUCGUAAGGGGGUUGGCAACUAGAUGUUGAUUGUUUGCCAUGGUAACUUAAAUUAAAUUGCCAUGACAACUUAAUUUACAUUUGUAGAUAUUUUGCAUGUAGGUAAUUUCUUUUUUUCAUAUUGGACCAUGCAAAUUUGCCAUGCCUUUUUUACAAAACAUAAUUUCUCUAGAUUUGUCAUGAGACCAGCACAACCAUUUCCCAAAAUUUAUCAUGUUUUUUACAUAAUUUUCCCUUACCAUUUGCAAUGGACUAUGGCCAACUUCCAGUUUCCAACGUUAUUUCAUUGGACCGUUGCAAUUUCCUGUAUGUUUAUACUUUUUUUUAAUAUUUACCAUUCAAAUUGUCCAUCUAGGUAUUUUCUAUUGUAGUGCGCAAUGGCAAUGCCAUGCAGGUUCUUCUUUUGUGUGGUGGGUUUAGCAUGUGGAACAUGGCAAUUUUCAUAUAUUUUACAUCAUGGCAAUUUUAUAUUCCCAAAAAAGGAUGAAAAAUCUUUGUUUAUUGUUUAAGUGAUGUACUUUUUCAUGCUUUUUUGUUAUUUUGUGCUUCAUGAAUUAUGCACACAUUUUCUCUUCCCUUUUUCUGAUGGUAACUUUUAUGUUUUUUGAGUUAAUUUUUUUGUUUUAUUAAGGGCAACUUAUAGCUGGCAAGGGCCAUAAGUAAGCUUAUAGUUGGGCUAGGCCGAAGACAAAAAAGGACCAGUAGGGAAGGGUGCAGAUCGGCUCGUAUGCAACCCGGUCAUUUCGCGUUGAGACCUCCUCUUUGGCGCCCUCGGCGCCGCUUAGGCUAGUUGGCGCUCGAAGGCGAGCGGUAGUGGGCCGACCCAGCAUCGCUAGCGGCCAACAACAUGCUCAAAAACAAACGGAAAGAAAUAUAUUCACCAUUAUUAUUCCGUGAGGCGUCGGAUUAAAACCCGCAUGCCAACGUCGAUGGACUUGACGCAAUAACCACAACAUGGCGAUUAAUUUGAUGUUUUCUAUCCGAAAAUAGUGAUAUUUGAGUCUUGUUUCAGUCCCAGUAUAAAUUAUUUGAAAAUAGGAAACUUAAUUUCGAAAAGGAAUUCACAAAUUUUAAAAAAGUUCAUGGAUUUUAAAAAAAGGUUCACAAAAUAUAAAAAUAUUCAUCAAUUUAAAAAAGAAGUUCAUGAAUUUGAAAAAAGUUCACCAGAUAUUUAAAAAAACAUAAAUAUGACAAAAGGUCAUCAUUUUUGAUAGAAAAAGUCCACAAAUUUGAAAAAAAGUUCAUUGGAUUUUGUAAGAAGGUUCACGGAUUUGGUUUAUCAGUUUUUGUCGAAAAACUAUUUAAAUUUGAAAAAGGUUCAUUGAUUUUGAAAAAAAAAUCUCAGAUUUUCAAAAAAAGUUCACAAAUUUGUAUAGAGUUCACCAGAUUUUGAAAAAACAAAUCAUGGUAUGAAAAAGUUUAUUCAUUUUGUUAAAAAAAUGUUCACCCAUUUUGAAAAAGGAAACAAGAAAAAAUAGAAAGAAGAAAAGAGGGAAACGGAUGUAACAAAUCACAUCAGGAGAGUGUGUAGUUGGCCAUAGUAGCUAACACUAAAUGAGGAGACCGCUGGUUUGAAUCACACCUGCGCACAUUUUUUUGCAGUUNNNNNNNNNNNNNNNNNNNNNNNNNNNNNNNNNNNNNNNNNNNNNNNNNNNNNNNNNNNNNNNNNNNNNNNNNNNNNNNNNNNNNNNNNNNNNNNNNNNNNNNNNNNNNNNNNNNNNNNNNNNNNNNNNNNNNNNNNNNNNNNNNNNNNNNNNNNNNNNNNNNNNNNNNNNNNNNNNNNNNNNNNNNNNNNNNNNNNNNNNNNNNNNNNNNNNNNNNNNNNNNNNNNNNNNNNACAGUUACAUGCAAAAGGGUAAAUGGGGUAGGCCCGUGCCGAGGGGUGUGUGCAUCCAUUUGCGAAAGCUGAAGUAAUGGGCGCUGAAGACGCCGAAUAGGGUUUGCGGACCGCGCUCGGGGGCUGGGGGUAUUUGUGUAGUAAAGGUUUUCAUUCUCUCAAGGGCCCCUUCAAAUUUGAUGUUUGAUGCAUAUUGGGGUCCUUUUACUGAUUAUUAGGCAGAUACAUGUCCAAUUGCAUUGCAUAGAAGCAAUCAAAUAAUUAGGGAUUACGUAAAGAACAUGGGAUGUGAGUCCAUAGGUCUAGUGCCGCCCUCCCACAUGUAUGAACAGCUUCAUCGGCACUUCUCCUAGCAAAUGAAAUUUUAAUCCCUAAAAUGAUAAGGGACGCGAUUUGAUCUCUCUAACCACAUGGAAUCCCUAAAAUGAUGUAGCAGCAUUUCUCAUUCAAUUGGAGUUUCUCCUCCUUAUCUUCAUUCCCGUCGAGCUGCAGUUGUAUACAUGUUCACGACCAUGUAAACCUUAGUACUGAAUUGACCCGAAAUUACGAAGCCAAGCCAUAAAUGUGUGAACAAUGCGGUGGGAAUCGUGGACUGCAUUGAACCACGGAUUCGCACGGCGCAAGUGGCCACACGCCCACGUCACAAAAUUCAAUUCGACAGGCCUUAUUACGAAACCUGGACAUCCAGAGUUCCAGACCCGAUCGACCACCGCGCGCCCGCCCCCUCAACCGAUCAAACCGAUCCUAGAAAAGUCCACCCACCACGGGCAACAGGAUGUCGAGCACCGGCGCGGCGGGCCCGGACGCCGACGCGGCGGCCGGCGAGGGGCUGGAGCUGGCGCAGUUCGGGGCGGGCUGCUUCUGGAGCGUGGAGCUGGCGUACCAGCGGCUCCCCGGCGUGGCGCGCACGGAGGUGGGCUACUCGCAGGGGCACCUGGACGGGCCGACCUACCGCGACGUCUGCGGCGGCGGCACCGGCCACGCCGAGGUGGUGCGCGUGCACUACGACCCCAAGGAGUGCCCCUACGCCGUGCUCCUCGACGUCUUCUGGGCCAAGCACAACCCCACCACGCUCAACAAGCAGGUACGUGUUCACCGCAAAAAAAAAAAAAUACAAGCAGGUAGGAGUACGUGAUGCGAUCACUCUACCGCUGCUCUUGCCGUAAGUUGGAGCGCAUAGUGUGCCGGCCAAGCCGGCGGCCGCCGUUGGGAACUUCGGGUGCAGAUCUCGUCGCCGGUGUCGCAUGGUUCAAUGGACCUGGCACGGGGUUGAGGGUUGACUUAUUCUCAGUGAUUAGUUGGUUCGCGUAGUUAUCUGGCUCGUUAAUACAGAGGAGCGAAUAUUCUCUCUUCUUCGGAACGAAAUACUUUUAUUUAAGAUAAAGUAGACGAUUUCAAUCUCAAAGGGGAUUCUUGUGGUCAAAGAGUAUAUAAGGCCUUUUAAGCCUUUUCUUGAUUCGUUUGUAUCUAGACUCGACAUAUUUUAGUAGGUAUGUUCAUUCAUUUUAAUAUGUAUGUAGUCAAUAUUUUGAAAUAGCUAAAAGGAUCAUUGUAUUGCCUCGGCGGAUAGGAAAAUUCACUACACACUUCAUCGUAUACACUUUUUAAUGUGAUCGAUCCAUAGUCCUCUGAGAUUUCCGAUGCACUGUCAACAUUACUGUCUCCUUUCAUAAACUUUUCUCACGAUAUGCACAAAUUCUGAGAGUUCCCUCAAGUUGUUGAUCUGACAUAACAAAUCUUCAGUGUCUCCCCGUUUUGCUAUGGUUUUACUGCAUGUUAGCAGCAUUUGGCCUCCGCACAUGGUUUACAAACCAAUUUGUCGUUGCACUUCAGGGCAACGACGUCGGGACGCAGUACCGGUCGGGCAUCUACUACUACACGGCGGAGCAGGAGCGGCAGGCGCGGGAGUCGCUGGCAGAGAAGCAGCGAGAGUGGAAGGAGAAGAUCGUGACGGAGGUCCUCCCGGCGAGGAGGUUCUACCCGGCCGAGGACUACCACCAGCAGUACCUGGAGAAGGGCGGCCAGUCCGCCAAGAAGCGCUGCUCCGACCCCAUCCGCUGCUAUGGCUGAGCCUCAAGGUCAUGGAGCACUGCCCCAGUCUCCGCCCGCCAUUGCAGCUAGCUAAGCAUCGCCAUUAGCAUCAUAAAGGACACACCAUCUGCCUGCCUGACUGUUGGUGUUACAAUAAAUAAACCCAUGCGUGCAGCGUGUAAAGGUGAACUUGGCGCUUUUGUUUGCUCGAUGAUCUAUGUUUAUUUUGGUGUUUGCCGUGUACAAGUUUUGCAAGCGGGCAUAAUCCACUACCACUAGCGUUCAGGCUUCACUCCUCUGUAUGGGCGUUUGAAUUUGGGGGCGAAUCAGCAAUUCACCGUACAACCCGUGGGGCCCUGGCAAUGAGAUGCACUUGCGCUGUGUUUUCUCCUUAACUAGAAAUCCUCAUUCCAUUCAUUCAAAAGGGCUAAAGCUUUGAUCUCUCACCACAUGACACAUGUGGUGAGCAAUCCAAACUAUUCAAAACAAAGCUUUAAUCUCUCUCAAGAAAACUCCAUUGAGGGAUAAUGGCUCCAGGAGGAGUUGUUGAUCGCCUCAACCAUCUGCUUCAAUCACGUCGUUGGCUAUGCCCCAUUCUUGUUUCAAUCCACUUGGGCUGUUGGGUGGGCUAGCAUAUUACCACUAGCAUGUUUCCCUUUGGACGUUUGGUUCUGGCGAAACCGCAACAUUAUAAAAUGAUGACAGCGUCACCUCAAAAAAAAAUGAUGACAGCGGCGGGGCAGCCAAAAGAAGAAAAUAAAAAUGAGCCAAUUAUCGUGCUUCCAUCUCCCAACUGAGCUUACACCGUUGACUCGAAGAAGACCACCACGAAAUUCCCGAUCUCUCGCGCGCUCCUGGAUCUUGUAAACCUCUACCAGAAGGCAGCGCGGGUAACCUCCGGUGGCCGUCGCAUCUGGGCCGACGACGAUCAAGAAUGUCCGGCGGCGACCUGCGCAGCCUGGCGGCGGUCUCGGCCACGGUGACCGCGGCCAUGUGCUACGUCCGUUUCGCGGCCGGGCGCCUCCGCCCGGGCCUGCCCCGCCUCACCGCGUUCCUCCCGGUGCUCGCCGUCCUCCCGUUCCUCCCCUUCGCCUUCAGCGCCAUCCACCCGCGCGCCAUCUCUGGGUUCUUCCUCGCCUGGCUCGCCGAGUUCAAGCUCCUCCGCCUCGCCGCCGGCAAGGGGCCCCUCCACCCGUCCCUCCCGUUCCCCGCAUUUGUCGCCGUCGCCUCCGGCCCGGUCAGGCUCCACGGCGACGGGCCCGACAAGGCUCAAGGCACGUCGUCGGGCCUGGACCUCGCCUCCUCCGCCGUCAUGGCCGCGCUGCUCGCCGUCAUCGUGUCGCUGUACUGGUACCAGGAGGCGAUGAACCAGUACGUCCUGCUCACCCUCUACGCGUUCCACGUGUACCUGGCCCUGGAGCUGGUCCUGGCGUCGGCGGCCGCGGCGGCGCGCGCGCUGCUGGGCAUGGAUCUGGAGCCGCAGUUCGACCGGCCGUACCUGUCGGCGUCGCUGCGGGACUUCUGGGGCCGGCGCUGGAACCUCUCUGUCCCCGCCGUGCUCCGGCCGUGCGUGCACCGCCCCGUGCGCGCGCGCCUGGGCACCGCCGCGGGGGUGCUGGCGACGUUCCUGGUGUCCGGGCUGGUGCACGAGCUCAUGUUCUACUACAUCACGCUGCGGCCGCCCACCGGGGAGGCGACGGCCUUCUUCACGCUGCACGGCGCGUGCGCGGUGGCGGAGGCGUGGUGGGCGAGGCACGACGCGUGGUGGCGCCCGCCGCGGCUGGUGGCCACCCCGCUGACGCUGGCAUUCGUGCUCGUGACGGCCUUCUGGCUCUUCUUCCCGCCGAUCACGAGGCCCGGGGCCGACAAGCUGGUGAUCGCCGAGUGCGAGGCGGCCGUCGCGUUCGUGCGGGGCGCCGGGGCCUGGGCGGCUGGCGGACUGAGCGCUCGUAGUACGGAGACGGCGGGUGCGUCACGCCUGAUGCGCCCGCGAAGAAUGGCUCGUUGCUCAGGCGGCAAUUUUUGUGUGUAUUGCGCCUAUGGCUGUCGAGUUGUUAUGAAAAUGUACCGAAACAAAUCGAUAGCUUGGUUGCUCGUUUAAUUUUUACUCCCUCCGUUCUAAAAUACUAAAAUAGAUGACUCAAUUUUGUACUAACUUUAGUACAAAGUUGAAAUAGAUGACUCAAUUUUGUACUAACUUUAGUACAAAGUUGGGUCAUCUAUUUUGAAACAGAGGGAGUAUAUUUUUGCGGAAUGGUUACUCGUUUAUUACUCGCUUCUCACACCAAUGAACUGACGAUGGUUGACAGUACCAAUGGCACACCCAAAAUACGGAGCAUCAGAUCACAGCACCAGCAUAGAAAUGUGCCAAUCAAAUUUGUUUCAAAUCCAUAUAAAUGUCCCAAUCCAAAUUUGCUUCAAAUCCAUGUAUUUAAAAAGUUAUUUAUAUAGCCUUCGGGUGCAGGCCAUGCAGCCUCUUUCCUAUCGUUCCUCGACACCAAACUGCUGCCGAAUGUUCCAUAACCUGAACAUGUACAUACUCCUCAUCUUUUCAAGUUACAGUACAGUACAUUUCAAAUCUCCCAACAUAGGCAAACAAGCACCUGUAUGUUCCCGCGAUGCAAAAACUAGGUAUCACGCACUGGCGCUCAAAACACCAGUUCUCAGUCCGUCACCGCUGAUCACCCCCCACAAUGAAUACUUCAUCUCAUGGCCUCGGCCUCUUGAUGUCUCUCUCGGCGCUGCGGUCAUUGCUCCUGUGCUCGUGCGCGUCCUUCCUCUUCCGGUUGUCGGGGCCAGGAGAGCGGUAUUCCUGGCCAUCCAGGGACAGCUCGCCCUCUUCGGUGUUCUCCGCCUUGCGAGCCGUGUUCUGGUGAUCCUCCCGGUGCGCGGGGUGGGGCCAGCUCUGCCUUCUGUCGUGUUUUUUCUCGUCCUCGGCAGCCAACUCCACGCCAUGUUCCAGCUCCCUCUCAAUCAGGUCAUCAUCAUCCAUGACGUCCACUUUCCUACCAGCAUCGCCUUUCGACUUCCUCCGUUUCUCCAGCGCAGCUUUCACCUUAUCCUUAUCUAUCUUUUUCAUCGCAUCCAUCAUUGAUGAGGACAUAUUUGUGCCUUCAUUGCUGUUGGUAGUGCCAUCCCUUGCUUCACUCUUGGGUAUCCUCUGGUUUGAGUUCUGCUUUUCAGGCUGAGGGUGGUCAUGCCCAUGACGGCCUGGUACGCUCGACUGUCUAGGUGCUUGAUGAGUUUCAUGGGCAGGAGGCUCCUCAGAUUUCACAGGAGCAUGCUGAUUAACCACACUUGCAGAGCUGCCUUCGGUGUCAUUCCCUUGUGAAGGUGGUGGUCCAACACGGUUCUGCUCGUAGAGCUCCAACAUUUGGUUGCUAACCUCUGAAAACAAAUGUCACAAAAAAUAUAAGAAUGGUUCUUUGGUAUGCAUCUUACUUCACAACAAAGAGCAUAAAAACCAUCACCAUGACAGAAAUGGAGUAAAAGGAGCAUCAGCUCUAUAAAAAUAGAUAUAUAUAAUAACGGGCAAUACUGCUCAGUACCGUUGCAAAAUCACCAAGCUGAAAAAUACAGUCUGCUGCUUAGUGUGGUCCCAGGUCCCACAUGCCAUCCACAUGUUAGAUGAUAAUUUCCAAACUAUACCUCAUUGUGAUGCUACUAAGCAAAUUUUCUGUAUAACAGAAAUGACAACAGGCAAGGGCUACCAGAAAAGUUGUCCUCCAAGUCAACACUCAACACCAACAAAAAUACCUCAAGUCCCAUAAAUAAGGCUACCAAAUACAAGUUCAUAACAAUGUGUUCGUGUCAUGGCAUUCCCUUGUGCAUUCGUAUCCCAGAACAAUAAUACUCCGUUUAGAAAAGGAGCACAUCUUAACAACAAGUCAACAACUCGCAUACCAAGGAGUUAAGGGGGGUUGUUUAUUAGGCUUAAUGUAUUUGCUCAUGGAACCUCUUGUGAUAUGUAUAUCAGUUUUGCCAAAGCACAUCUAGAUGUACCAUAAGUAUUGCACAUCUAAGUCCUAUCCCAUUGAUCUUACGUGGAGAUUCGUGUGAUACGUGUAAGUAUUGCACAUCUAAGGCUUUGUUGUUGUUGUUGCUGUUGUUUUCUUUUUAUGUUUGAUUGAGUUACUUAGAUGUUCAAUAACUAGGGCACAAUAUAAUCUUGCGUGCAUUGGCUUGCUGCGCCUCGAUUUCCUAAUACGCGCUGUAAUGUGAAAAGGAAGUAAAAAAAACUAAGACAAGCUUGCUCGAAUUAUGAAAAGGAGGGAGUACUCUGUGCACCUCACAAAACACCUUGUGUCUCUGACCUAACCAACCUAGUUCCAGUAUCAUUGCUGAACUAAGAUUAAGAUGGUGAUGAAAUUUUGGCCAUCCAAUCUCAUAAGCGCCUAAAGCAUGGGAACAAUUGCUGCUUGCUUUCAAAGGCAUUUAAACUACUAUCCUUACAAUAAUGCAUAGUAAAAUUGUGCAAAUAUGCAAUACUGACUAUGUAUCUAGGGACCAACCUUCCAACUGACGUGGAGUUACAUCAAACUCUUGCCACCAGACCUUUUCCCCGUCUGCUGGAAGCUUGACUUUGAGGAACUUUGCAGCAAGGAAGAUUGCGCCGGCAGCAAUAUGAUGGGGCUUAAAUUGCAGGCAAAGCGAAGUGCGUAGCCUGUACACCCCUUUUAAGGUAUAGUAAAUAGGCAUAAUGGGGGAUUACUAUUUUUGUAAGGAUAAGGGUAAUUUCAGCAUACCCAUCAUUGACAAAAUUCCAGGCAACUUGAGCAAGUGCAUUUUGAGCAACCUUGAAUUUUUUUAUUGCUUCAACCAAAGGCUUGUAAGGGUGGUGCACAUUCAUGUCAAAACCAAGUGUUACAAGCACAAGGCGCUCCCCGAUCAAAAGAAGUUCCUUCUGUUGUUCAUACACUUCCUACACACAACAACACAAACCGUUCUUGUCACAGUACUCAGGAAAUAAAAAUGCACCAGCUAUAGAAGAGUUGCAGCUUUAUGUUGUGAGGGAGAACAAGUACAAAAAAGAUUAUGUGUGCUAUCAAGAAAAUGCUCACAAAAAUAAUCUCACCUUCUGCUUAAUUCGGGCGACUGCAGCAGGAUCCUUUUUGUGGAUGAUCUCAUAAGAGAUGAGUACGACAUCCUUCAGGGGUCUAGGUGUUUCUUCAACUUUACCCGCCAAGAACAUGCAAACUGUGGCUAUUGUCUGCAGAUUAUAAUGAACUUACAUUGACGACAAUUUGCAACAUGAAGUUGAGUAUAAGAAAAAUACCACCCCUAAAAAAUAACAUAUUGCAAGCAGCAUGCUCUAUAUUGUACGCUAUCCAAGAAAAAAAAUACUUAGGGCCGCUUUGAUUCACAGGAUUUCUAAAGCAAAGGAAUAAGAAAAACACAGCAAUAGAGUGUCAUGUCUUCUUCAAUACCCCAAAAGCGUAGGAUUCUUAACAAGAGGUUGGAGUAGAUGUAAAUUUUCCUUCGAAAUCUAAUGCAAAUGGAUCAAGGGAGAAUUUAUGUAGAUUGCAAUCCUACAAAUCAAACGACCCAUGUAGACACAAUCCUAAGGAUUAGAAUCGUCUAAAAUUCAUUAAGAAAUCAUUUGAAUCAAAGAUGCACUAUAGUGUUAGCCUGCAUGUCUUUCCUACAGAGCCAAACAAAAUUUACCAUAUCAUGGAAUCCAAUAAGAUACAUGUUCUAAGGCGACAACAAAUCAUUUAUUCUUCUCUUUCACAAUAUGGGUGGCGAGCAUCAAUGUUUGAAUACAUGUUAGUAUACUGCCUACCAUGCAUAGAAAACGAUUUACAGAUAAAGUAGAAAAUAUGUUGUUUGAUAACAGACAUAUAAGCUCAUAAAAAUUUCAGCAAGGCUUACCUGUCUGUCAUUUUUGGCAUGAGAUUGACGAAGGAAAAAACGAUGACAAAAUACUAUAGCUGUAGCAAUUGUUACUUGGGGCCUACAUAAUGAAGUAAUUCAUCAAUAAGGAAAGAAAAUACCGUAAACAACUAUCAACCAACCCAAGAGAGCACAAUUCAUGCAGUAAUACAACGGGGUCUUUACUGCUUCAUAAACAUUCAUGGAGCAAAUGUUCUAAGGGCACAUAAAGGGCUAUAAAACACUAAAUACGGUUGAAUAUUUACUGUUCUACCUAGACAAGGAUGUCAUCAGCCAUUGUUCCAUGCCCGAUAAAAACAAGUGGGCUAAAUGUAACAAAUCAAUGAACAUAACACUGGGGUAAGGGCCAAUAUGUUACGAAUUCUCUAUAGUAAAAAAAUCAAAGAAUAUAAAGGGACUAUAUGUUAAGAACUUAUUCCUUAAAAUGCCGUGUGCUGAUGAAGAAAACAUCAACCCUUUUUUAAGGGAAAAACUGAGUAACAAUAUGUUAAUAACUUAUUCCUAAAAUGCCAUGUGCUGAUGAAGAAGACAUUUUUAAAGGUAAAACCUGAAUAGUAGUGUCAUCACAGGCAUAUCUAGCAACUUUCAAACAUAAAUAUCAUAUUAACAAGCAUGUGCUAGCAAAUAUCUCAGCUGAACAAAUUAAACAUGGCUUGAUAAUUGAGAGCUUUACCAUCAAAUUAUUCACAUCAAAUAGUGCUAAAUUAUCUCUGAAUGUUGUCACAGAAAUAAAGUUAAGAUACAAAGCUAACAAGCAUGGAGUGCACAUAAAUGCUCAAAAAUGCUUAGGCAGAAGAAAAACUGGACAGGUCAACGAUCAGAUAAUUAUCAAAUAUCUAACAUAGUACAUAUAUCGCAUGAUUAAAUAAAAACAUUUAGUCCAUAUAGUCAAGUAAAAUGCCAGGAAAAAGCAGACAAGUUUUUCUGGAUGGGGAAAUGAUUAAACUAGCACUUGAGCACUCAGCAUGCUUGGCAACCUAUCAUGUAAGGACACUAUGUUUAUUUUAAACCUAUGCGUCAUGUUCCCUCGAUCACCAGAGGUGAUGCUUGUGUGAUCUUCUGAAUAACAUCUGCAUCCCUAACAUCUUAUGUUUUUAACAAACAUACCUCACAGUGUAUGCUUUAGCUAUUCCUCCCAUCAAAUAUUAUCAUUAAAUGUAUGUUGAUUCGCAGCCUAAGAGUGUCUGAGCAUGUCAGACACUUGCCUAACUAGGUCAAACAGGCAAAGUGUGUCAGGGUUUGGCUUCCAACUAAACAGGCCCUGACAAUCUGUCCAUAAAGGUUAUAGAACAUAGUCAUGCACAGUAUAUACAAGAACUGUCAUAAAAAAAUGCAAUCAUUUAUGCUUUAAGUGUGCAGUGUACUUUCCUCAGGUUUUGAAAAUAAAAUGAGGGUAACACCAAUCAUAAAGUAUCUCAGAUAUUCUUAACGGGAAAUGAGAAAGAAACAAAAACUGCUUGAAUGAAAUUAAGCUAUAGGAAAACAUCCAGUUAUCUGCAGAAACUUGAAAAGAACUUUCAAGAUUCAAAUAAUACUGCUAAAACAUCAGGUAUAUUACUCAGUAAAAGAUGUAACAAUAAAAUACCCAUGGUACAAUAUAUUCUUACACUUUAAGCCUCAUCCCGAAAUCCUGAAGGAAAGUGCAGUAUGACUUGCGAAGGUAAGACUCCUUCUUUAAAUCAAUACCAUCUCUCCUUGAAAGGGAAUUCUCUUCUAUUUCUUUUCUACUAAAAUACCACGAAGCACCAAGUUGAUCACCUUCCACACGUCUAUCAUAGGGAGUUGUAUAAGGGCUGUUCUCUACAAUUCCAUGAUGUGAAGAAUCACUAGUCUGCAUGAUAUCCAUCUAUGAUUUUCUUCUUUUCUUACAAAAAAACCUGGCAAAGAGAGAGAUAUAAUGUCACCAUUGCAAACUUAGUACCAUAUAAGCAUACAUAAACGGGAUGGAAGGUGCAGCUAUGCACGUAGCAAACUGCAUACAUAUUUUGAAAUUUAACAUACAGUAAGUUGCGAGGAGCUAAAGGCAUCAAACUAUAUUCCCAAUACGUGCAAAGGAUGGGUGCUAUAUAAUAACAAUGAAUCCAUACAGCUUUGAUUAACUGCUUGUCCUGUCCUUCAUGGAAGCCCAGUAAUUCAAACAAAUUUGUGACAUGUGGAAUAUAACGAACGGAAGGGGUUUCUUAAUUACAGCGAUGAGUCAGGGCCAGGAGGACCACGUGAAGGCACCAAAACUUGGCUUGCGUCAGGGGCUCAGGGCAUUGGCGGGAGAUGCUGGCGGCGAUGGCGGUGUGUCAGCGCUAGGCUUAGGUCGCUAUGUGCAAGAGGAGAUGGGUCGAGGCGAUUUUUUCCAUCCGGGUCAGCUGAGUCCAGUGGUAUUUGCGGGUAAUUCUGAGCAACUCAUCGUUUGGCUAGAUCUGGAAUCCUGGAAUCCCUCGCUCCAGAAAUUUGCAUACGCCUAGCCCAGAUAUACCAAUUCAGCUCACAGAGUUAUAUCGUUCGGGGCAGUCCAUGUGCUCCGUCCGCAGAGUUGGGAGCUGGAGGGCUAUGGAGUGGGGCCUUAAUCACCCCAUAAAUCAAAUUUUUGUACAAUAAAAUAACCCAUAUUUCCAAUAUUAAGUUCAUUACAAUUCAUGAUCGGUAAAAUCAACUUAAAAAGCAAUAAAUACUGCAACACAAAGUGUGCUCCUGCCAAAUACGAGACGUAACAAAAGGCAAUAAUCACGGUUCAGAUUUUUCUGAUGAUCAUGAAAGUCGAAUAUCAAAUCCUUUGACAAACUUGUUACAAGCAGACAAUGGUAGAGGAAAGGUAUCUUCAUAGUUAUUGAGUAGGUAACCCAACGUGAAACCUACUGGAGAGUUCAGUUUACAAGUGUGUUGUGUUCUCAAGGUGUUUUCCCAGCUACCGAUCAAAGCACAAGUUGUUAGUAGCUUCACUGAAUGUUAGAACUCAAUACAAGAGCAAAAUUUGACCACCUAACUGACAUUGUGCAGAAGGGAUUAAACUAGAUUAUAAAGCUAAUAAGUUCAAACAUGAACUAUCCCACUCCAGACUCCACCCCAACACAAAAGUAACACAAUUAUCUAAAGCAACACAACGCAAAGCUGCACAUUUUUUUAUGCAACUGUGGGAACCUGCAAAACUCUCAAUUUUAUACUUACAAACCUUUUUUUACAGUAUGUCUGGUUUCGAUCUGAUCCGACAAUCCUAAUGGCCUAAUCUUAUUCCCUGACUCUUCUUUUGCAUGCCUCAGGAAAAAACUCUGUUUUUACAGUAUAUCUAAUAUAAAAACCUUAUUAGUAGGACAUCCAAUUUGCCUUGUCCAUCUAUUGCAUUCCAAAUUAAUCAUUACACACUAUAAAGAAAACCGAAUCUGCCACCAAAUUGAUACAGACUCGGCAGAUUUCAGGCAUUUAUCAGAAGUAAUGGGUCCAUACCUUGCUCGGGAGAGGUGGAACCGGCGCGGAUGGGAGGUUGCUGGAGGGGCCGGCUGGCGGGCAGCUUCCGGAGGUCGUCGUGAAGAAGCAGAGGUGACCUCCUGCCGCCGUCGCCGAGGGGUCGCGGACGAGGCGUGGAGGGUGUGUGCGUGGGGGGCUGGGGGGCGAGGGAGAUAAGAAAUCAGGCGGCGGCGUGAUAUUGCCUGUGGCCGGCAACGGAGGGGGAGCGGACGGGGCGGCGGCACAAACCCUAACACCGCCGCAUCGCCUCUGAGGUCGCGUGCGACGGGGAAACGAGGGGAGAGAUGGGAUUACGGGAGGUGUUUUUUUCUUUUCUUUGACGGGACGGGUGGUAGUUAAGAACGAUAAGCGACGGUGCUGGCAAAUAAGCCGGAAAAAAUCAGCUGGUUUUUUCAUUCCAAUCUAUACUUCUGUACAUUGAAGGGUCAACUUUUUAAAUUCUUUUUACAAAUUACUAGUAAACGUGCCCGUGCGUUGCCACGGAUGACAAUGCAGUUGAACAUUAAGUUAUAUGGAUAACUUCUUGAGGAUGGAAUGCAUGGAUAGUAUCAUGAGAUGAUACUAAAACCAACAAAAUAUUCUUCAACCAUUAUAAUGCAUGGAUAGUAUCAUGAGGUGACACAAAAAUUAUUCAAUCAUUGAUAGGGUAGGCGCAUCAAUCAGUCUUGUUUCAAUUUGGUAUGGAGCAGAUUUUUAGUUUAGGUAUUGUUCGGAUGUCCUUCAACUUCAUGCUUCGCCAACUACGCGGAUCGUAGGAAGUCGAAAUCACAGAGCUUAAUACUCCCUCCGUUCCAAAAUAUAGCGCGUCCUCGGUUUCCGUGCUUCAACUUUGACCAUUAAUUUAAUCAACAAGACCGACUGCGGCGGGCGAAAAAAUUAUACCAAUGAAUUCGUAUUCAAAAAAAGUUUUUAAUUAUAUAAUUUUUGAUCCCGCCGCAGUCGGUCUCGUGGGUUAAAUUUAUGGUCAAAGUUGAACCUCGAAAAGCGUGGGCGCGCUAUAUUUUGGAACGGAGGGAGUAUAUUUUCAACGACAAUGCCAUCACCAAGUUGUGUAACACUUAGUUGCGAAACGAACCUGGUCAAAGCGCUAGCCAUGACAUCACCAUUGUUCCCUUCUCACGAGCCCGCCAGGGCCGACCGCCAUCCCUCCAGCUCAUUCUAUUCAUCUGCUGCCCUGCCAUUGCCUGUCGUCGACUUCCUCCAUCCCGUCUCAAUCUUCCACACCAUUGGCCUCCUCCCCAACAUCGCCAUCUUCCCCGGUAUAGAUAACCUCCUCAACAUCCCCAUCGUCGGCCUAUGCUAUGUUCAUGACGAACCCCUCAACCAACAGAAGCUGACCAUCACGUCCCAAACGGUAUGGCCCUUCCCCAGAAGCUGGAGCGUGGCACUGAAGCGUCAACAUUUCUAGACAUUUCCGAAACCCCGACACUGCCAUCUUCCCUGGUAUAGACUACCUCCCCAUCGUCGGCCUAUGCUAUGUUCAUGACGAACCCCUCAACUAACAGAAGCUGACCAUCACAACCCAAACGGUGUGAAAGUUCCACGAAAGCUAGAGCGCGGUGCCGAAACUUCAACAUUUCUAAACAUUUCCCAAUAGGCUUACAUGUAUGCUUCUUGCCCCAGAGUUGCCACCCCGUGGAAUAUUUUAGCAAUGUUAACUUUAGCUAGAAAUAUAUAUCUCCUCUAGUAAUAGCUCAUAUAGAAAAAUGAUGGUUUUCACUUCUAUACUCUGCAUGUAAUCUUUCAUCAAGCUCCCACACAUAGAUAUAAAAUCACCACCAUUUGACAUUCAGUCAUCAAUUAUAAUAUUUCUCUAAUGAACCUUUUUAUUCUAUUUUUUGCUGGCUCUAGUAUAUCAUAAAUGCUAAAAUGAAGAGAUUUGAGGAUAUGUUAUAAAUUUCAGUGUUGCUACAUCUACAAUCCAUAUAAUAAACAAUAGUGACCCGUAGCUCAUACAUGUACAAUAUCCAUGUUAGAAGGUUCGUCACUCUUUCCUUCUCCAUCCUUGCUACAGUUAAGAGAGAGAGUAUGCAUACAAUGUGUUAUCCUUGCAAUAUGAGAUGCAAAGCACAGACCCACAACGGUAUUUCAAAUAGGCACAAGAGAGAGAAUAUAUUGCAUUACUUCUAUAAGAAAUAUAAUAGUUUGAAUAAAUUGGUAUCCAAGUUUGUCACUUAAAGAAACAUGUUUCCUGUAAUCUAGACACUUGAAGCGGGCAAGCAGCUAAAAUAAACUUAAUAUGAAGCUCUACAAUUCUCCCAUUGGUUCUGACAUACUGCAAUUCCCUCGUUGGUCCUGACAUAUUGGAUCCUUCAUCAUGCAUCCUGGGUUAAG